GGAGAGUUAUCGAAGCGGUCAUAACGAGGCGGUCUUGAAAACCGUUUGACGGCAACGUCACGUGGGUUCGAAUCCCACACUCUCCGCCA
rnacentral:tRNA from 1 species